rnacentral:rRNA from 1 species
CAGCCGCCGCGGUAACACGGAGGGUGCAAGCGUUAAUCGGAAUUACUGGGCGUAAAGCGCACGCAGGCGGUUUGUUAAGUCAGAUGUGAAAUCCCCGAGCUUAACUUGGGAACUGCAUUUGAAACUGGCAAGCUAGAGUCUUGUAGAGGGGGGUAGAAUUCCAGGUGUAGCGGUGAAAUGCGUAGAGAUCUGGAGGAAUACCGGUGGCGAAGGCGGCCCCCUGGGCAAAGACUGACGCUCAGGUGCGAAAGCGUGGGGAGCAAACAGGAUUAGAUACCCGUGUAGUCCCUGUCUCUUAUAC